rnacentral:rRNA from 1 species
CAGUCGUACCGACGGAAAAUCAGCUCUUCGAGUGCGGACUUGUGGGUUACGUGAGCUUUACGGCCUCGUUGUUUGCAAUGUUCGUUCUUUUUGGGUGUACUUUUUCGUAUGGUUGGCCAAUAUCAGUUUCGAUCGCUAUAAAAUGACCGGCGGAAUGUAGCUUCGAUCUUGUAUUGAAGUGUUAUAGCCUCUGGUAGAUGUGGUGAUUGGGACUGAGGAUUGCAACGAAUACCUUUUUGGGCUAUCCGUCUGAUCUCUGAAAGUUGCUUAGGUGCCGAAAGCGUGCUUACGGUUAUUUAAGUUGACGGUCAAAAGGUUAGAACGUGAUUAUA